rnacentral:rRNA from 1 species
CCAAUAGCGUAUAUUAAAGUUGCUGCAGUUAAAAAGCUCGUAGUUGAAUUUCGGGAUCAAUAUGUCGGUCGUGCCUCGGUACGUACUGGCUUAUUGGUUUCUCCUUUCUGAAGAACCAUGAUGUCAUUUAUUUGGUGUCGUGGGAAAUCAGGACUGUUACUUUGAAAAAAUUAGAGUGUUUAAAGCAGGCUCACGCUUGAAUACAUUAGCAUGGAAUAAUGAAAUAGGACGUUUGAUUCUAUUUUGUUGGUUUCUAGGAUCGACGUAAUGAUUAAUAGG